rnacentral:rRNA from 1 species
GACGAACGCUGGCGGCGUGCUUAACACAUGCAAGUCGAACGGUGAAGCUCCAGCUUGCUGGAGUGGAUCAGUGGCGAACGGGUGAGUAACACGUGAGCAACCUGCCCCUGACUCUGGAAUAAGCGCUGGAAACGGCGUCUAAUACUGGAAACGAGAAGGGUCCGCAUGGGCACUUUCUGGAAAGUUUUUCGGUUGGGGAUGGGCUCGCGGCCUAUCAGCUUGUUGGUGAGGUAAUGGCUCACCAAGGCGACGACGGGUAGCCGGCCUGAGAGGGCGACCGGCCACACUGGGACUGAGACACGGCCCAGACUCCUACGGGAGGCAGCAGUGGGGAAUAUUGCACAAUGGGCGAAAGCCUGAUGCAGCGACGCCGCGUGAGGGAUGACGGCCUUCGGGUUGUAAACCUCUUUCAGCAGGGAAGAAGCGAAAGUGACGGUACCUGCAGAAGAAGCACCGGCUAACUACGUG